rnacentral:rRNA from 1 species
AUUGAACGCUGGCGGCAUGCCUAACACAUGCAAGUCGAACGGCAGCACGGCAGUAGCAAUACUGUGGGUGGCGAGUGGCGGACGGGUGAGGAAUACGUCGGAAUCUGCCCAGUCGUGGGGGAUAACUAGCCGAAAGGUUAGCUAAUACCGCAUACGACCGAGAGGUGAAAGCGGGGGACCGCAAGGCCUCGCGCGAUUGGAUGAGCCGACGUCGGAUUAGCUAGUUGGAGGGGUAAAGGCCCACCAAGGCGACGAUCCGUAGCUGGUCUGAGAGGAUGAUCAGCCACACUGGAACUGAGGCACGGUCCAGACUCCUACGGGAGGCAGCAGUGGGAAUAUUGGACAAUGGGCGCAAGCCUGAUCCAGCAAUGCCGCGUGUGUGAAGAAGGCCUCGGUUGUAAGCACUUUAUUCAGGAACGAAAGACG